CUCUCUCUCUCUCUCUCUCUCUCUCCUGUGAGAAUCGAGAGGCAGGGAAUUUGGAUAAACAUCAGAGUCUGACCUCUCCUGCCCCAGCAAACUCUGUCAUGAUGCUGCUCAUCCCCAUUUAUUCAGAAGGAGAAUGACUGGCAUCUACUUAAACAACAAUCAGUGGCAAAGUUCCCUGAAAUCGACAACUAAAGUUCCUUUUUCCUUUACUGUUCCUUACUCCAUAGAUUUUAAGACUUUUAAAAACAAAGAAGAAAGAAAAUACUAAGGGAAGUUGAUCGCAUGUCUGUUUGAGACACUAGAAAAGAAACGAGGAGCUGAUUCUAAAGUGACGAAAGACAAGCGUUUACAUAUAUCAUUUCUUUUCUUUUCAAGUCUCAGGACCAAAAUACCUUCGGUCUGGAAAAGAAUGAACAGGCGGCUGCUAGAGUCCCUUUAUUUCAUCUCCAGCCUUUCCUCAGGGUUGCAGCCCUGAGAAGUAGAAGGGAGAAAGGGAGAAGGGAAAAGGAAAGUGAGAGGAAGCUGGUAGAGAUAAAGGAGUAAGGGACGAUUAUGUCUUCCCUCUCCUCACUCCCCACUCCUGCCUGGGAGAAGCAGCUGUUGGAGUCUUUCAUUUAACUCUGUCUGCCCUGGCAUGAAGAGGGCAUGUUCCACUUAAUGUAGUUUAGCUGACAGCUUCGACUGCUGCUUCAAGGUAGGAAGAAAAGAAAAAGAAAAGGUGGAAAAGACUUGUGUGGGAGAAAAAGUGUUUUUUCUUAAUAUUCUUCUUAAAAUGUUUUUGGAGGGGAAAAGUGUGAAAGUGUCGGAAGGAAGAUAAAGAUGGAGAAAUAAAUUCAGUUUAUAUGUCGGACGUGAGAGACAGUGCAGCAUACUGGUAAAUGGACUGGCAGGUGACAAAGAAAGCUUGGGUUCAAACCCUGACUCUAAUUCAUAUUAAAUGACCCCUGGGCAGGCUAUUUAACUUCUCAAUGCCCCCAGGCCUCUCAAGAAGAAAACUUACUUUCUAGUUCUCCACCCUAUAACAACAACAAAAAUUUUAAAAAACACAUCAAAAAAAAAAAAAAAAAAAAAAGAUAAUGGACCCUAUUUGCAGAGCAUUUCAAGGUUUGCAGUGUUCAGACUUUUCUCACACUCAUUUUAAAGGAGAAAAUGUUCUCUGACAGUCUAUAUGACUUGUCUAGGGUCACACAGUAAGUGGCCAAGUCAGGAUUUGAGUCAGCCUUGUACCUCCCAAAGUCCACCCAAACAGGCGAGGGAAAAUGUAAAUCUUUAACCAGUUGGGUAUACACGGACUCCUAAGGGUUGGUGCAAUUUGGAGAUGAGGCAAAAUUCUAGCAUAGGAAACACAGAGCCCAAGGAAUCUCUUUUGCCAAAGACUCAGAGAGUCUCUGCUCUUUUCUCCAUCAUCUCCAUUCCAAGAGACAAGUCUCUCCCUGUUGCCUCCAUGUCCUUGUUCUAACUCCCUCCUACCCAUUCUCUUUUAACUGCCAGGGCAAGACCAGGAAAACACAGAAAUCAAAAAGAAUCUCAGAGGCAGAUCUGUGGGGGAAAUGGGACCAAACGGAAUCCAAGGCCUUGGCUGUGAAUCCCAGCGCUGUUGGACGGAUCACUCUUGCCUCAGUUUCCUCACCUUUCAAAUGUGGUGACUGGAUGAGAAGACAUCCAAGAUCCCCUCCAAUUCUAAAUGACGUGACCUGCCUAAUAUUUCUAAAGAUGGGAGACAGAUCACUCCAGGGGCAGGAUGUGUUUCCCAAAGAGGGACUGAGUUAAAGGAGAUAGAGAGGGGGAUCAUGGAGGCAGGAGGCUAUGACUGAUGAAGCUAAGGAUUUAGAGAUCUGAAAUCCUUCUUUUAAAUCCAGUUCCCGGAGUUAUGAACUGGGUGAACCUGAGCAAAAACUUACUGAUUUGAUGCCUAAAGAGUCUGAACUCAAAUCUCAGCUUUACUAUUUAUUACCCGUAUGUCCUUAGACAAUGGUCUCAAUUUACCCAUAUGUAAGACAAAGUGGCUGGACUAGAGCUUCCCCAAGAUUCCCUCCAGCUAUUACAAUGCUUCCCCUCGCUGGAAAUCAUUUCCUCAUUUGAGGUUAAACUAGAAGAUCUAACAUAUUCUAGAUAAUGUGAACUGAGUCUUUACUGUUGCUCCUUUCUCUCUUAUCCAUCCCUCUCUUCACAUAUACAUAAACUUAAAGUAUAGACCCAAAUUUCUGUACUCUGGGGGUGGUCCCUAGUUGGGUCCAAGUUCUUGCCUUCUAAAAAAAAUCCUAAAAGAUGGAUUGCCUCCUAUAAUUAAGCCAGACAUCCCAGCAGAAAGGAAGUAAAAGAAUAUAUCUGUACGAAUAUCAUUUCCAAUUCUGUACACUUCCACUCGGUGACUCAGUUUCCUUCUGCAUAUCAAGAGUCUGAAUCCUAAAGAUAGUUUUGUGAUGAAGGGAGAAUAGAUGUAGCAGAAUGUAAUUUGGGGGAUUUCAAUGGGAUGAGAUACAAUCAUUGACCUAGAAGAGGUGGUGAAUUAUAAUUGAAUAUUAUAUAUUAUAUAUAUUAUAUAUUAUAAUUGAAAUUAUAGCAUAAUGGGUAAUAGUAAUAAUAUUAACCCAUUUACAUGGCACUAUACAGAGCACUUUCCUCACAAAUCCUAUGGUACAGAGAGUACAAGUAUAAUAAAUUCUCUCCUUUACAAAUGAGGAACUGAGGUUCUGAGUGGUAACUAGUCAUGGCGUAACAGGCCCAGGGUCUUGAACCCUCUGCUCUUCCCAACAUGCAGCAGCUAUAGGAAAGAAAUUACUACCAAUGAAGUAAGGAUGACGUUGGAGUGGGUGAAAAAGGGAAAGUGUAUCAUUUCCUUACUGAGAAAAUUCUCAGAAAAGGGAACACAGUUUUCAAAAUGAGAAUUAUUUUCUUCAAAAAGAGCUACUCGCUUUCCCUAAACUGAAUGGACGGAACUAAGUUCCAGGGAGAGGGAAGAUCUUACCUGACAAGGAAGUUCUAACAGAUGUUCGAAAAUGCUAGUUCUAAUGAGAGCCAGGCCCCAAACACAGAUCACUAAGGGUUCAUCUUUUGAGGGUGAAAGAAAGCUAGAAUGGCCUAAAAGCACUAUGGUUUCUGGAAAUAAAUUUGUCAGCCUAGAGUUCUGUUCUGUUGGUCUGUCCCUCUCCAGGUGCCUGUGAAGGACAAUAAUUAUAUAUUCUAGCUAUCCUGCUUUUUCAUACUCUUUCACUGUCUAAAAGUUUUUUUUGGGGGGGAGAGAAAUUGUUUUUUGUUUUGGGGGGUUGGGUUUUUUUCUGCAUCUCUCCCACCCCUGGGGUUGAAAGGGGUGAGGAGAAAAGAGAAGAAGAGAUAGGAAUGGAGCAGAAAAAAAAAAUUCUUCCUGUAAUUAGGGAAUAGCAGGAGGAAAGGGAGGGCUGGGAAGGACAUGAAUGGCAGCCCAGGGACCUAGGGAUAUCUGGGAAAUCAUCAAAAAGUCAAAAGAAACAGGUGCACCGAGCUUCAUGAAGGGGGAUUAGUUUGGAGAGCUAAGACAAACAGGAAGAUCUUGAAGCUAAGAGUGAAAUUCUGUUCUGAAAUGGCAGGGGGAAAGAGGAACAUGUUAGGAGAACUGAGAGACACAUUCCUACUUCCGAAGGAGAAGGAAAGGGAAGGGCGGUGAAAGCUGAGAACUGAGAGCACAUUCACUCCUCUGGGUUUGAGAAGUACCAGCAACCCAAUCCACACCUGCCCAAUACAGCUCUUUGAAACGCCACAUUACUUUCUCCGCCUACAAAUCUCCUUCAGCGUAUUUGUGGGGGCCAGUUUGGACAGGAGGUGAGGCUGGCACACGGCUUGGGGGUGGGAGGGUAAGGUGAGAUAAGGAAAGGGACAGGGGAAGAGGCAAAACCUUGCCUUCCAGAUUUCCUUCCAAGCUACCCCAAAAGCCAUAAUCCCUCCCUGUCAACACCUCCUCAGUGCCAUUAGCAUCACCUCCCAGAGACAAAGCUAGCCCAUCAAUCCCUCCUGUUUCAGGCCUGGGGAGAUGGGCGGAAUCAGUCAGACUGACCGGAAAAAAAGACCCCCCUUCAAGUUUCUAAGCUCACUGAACAGGCUUUAUAUUGCAAGGGAAACUGAGGACUUUUAAUAUAGGGGCUGGGACAGAAUUUAAGUCAGAGGUGGGUAAGGUCAAGGUUUUACAAGGCCCAAGCACUCCUUGCCCACCCUCCUCCCUCCUUCCCAUUCGGACUCUUUGAUCCCACAUCUGCCUUUUUCAGUCUGGCGGCCCAAACUGGCACCUGGAGGAAGGGACACUCCACAGCAUCCACUGCUACCUAAAAGAGGCUCAGGAGCGGAGAGGUGAGAUUUCCUGCCAUGAUUCUUUGGUGUCCAUGAAGCUAGACUCCAAGGGACAGAAAUGGGGGCAUUUGUAGCAUGGGAGAUUGCUGUUACAGGUCCAACAUUUUAUCCACACUGAGCCACAGCUGUCUACCAAUCAGAAAACAGCCUUCAAUCAACUUCUGUCACUUAUUCCCUGACAGUGUAAGGACCUCUCUGCUAGGCCAUAAAGAAGUAUAAAGUCCUGACUCUAAACUCCAAGCAUCUGUAAGUCAUUUAUGCUAAUUCUUCCCUCCCUUCUUUCUUUCAUUCUUUCCCUCCUUCCUUUCUUCUCCCUCCCUCCUUCCCUUCCUUUUCUCCCUGCCUUCUUCCUUCUUUCCUUCCUUUCUCCCUUCUUCCAUCCACCCCUCCUUUUUUCCUUCUUUCUCCCUCCCUUCCUUUCCUUCCACUUUUCUAUCUGCCUCCUUUCUUCCAUUCCUUCCUCUACACUCCCUCCCUUACUCCCUCUUUCCUUUCCUCCCUUCCUCAAUGCUUCCUCCAUGCCCCCCUUCCCUCUACUUCCUUCCUUAAACAGUUAGUUAGUAUACAGUGUGCAGAUCAUGGUGUUGCGCCGGAGAAAUGGGAAAGAUACAAAGUUGAGAAUACGCCUGGGUCCUGCUCUCCAAGAGUUAGUGUUGAGGAGGAUGAUGAACCAAGCACAGACGCUUAGAAUAUACAGCACCACUUCUAAGGGAACUUGGGAGGUGCAGAACAAAAAUAUUAGAUAAAGAUCAAUAAGUGUGAGGCAGUGUGUGCUAAGUGACCCGUGGGCUGUGACUGAUUUAGGAAUUCGGAGUUAGUCAACCACUUAUUAAGCAGCUCCCAUGUUCGACGCCCUCCAAGAGCUUCUAUGGGGGAAGGAGGAGGGGAAGAGUGGGAGCAAAUGCUCCAGAAAACUCAGUAGGUAUAUAGGCAAGUGCAAUGCAGACAAAGUGCUUUGGAGGCAAAGGAAAGCUCCAAAGUGCUCUAGGAAUAUCGGAGCAUGGACAAAGGGAAAACAUAAACUCUAGCUCUGCAAGCAUUCAAGUCUUGCCUGUUGAAGUCUGAAUGACCUUAACCAAGUCAAAUCACUUUGAUCAUCUAUAAACAAUGGGAUUGGUCUAGUGGGAAAUAGUAGGGAAAGUUACAGAUCAGGAAUCGGAGAUUUGGGGUUCAAAUCUCAACUCUAUCACAACCUGAGUGACCUCAGUUUCCUAAUUUAUAAAAAAUAUAAGGGAAGGAUUGGACGAAGUGAUCUCAAAGUUCUGUUCCAACUCCAGAUUCCAUCAUAUCUAUAAAGCAUUCAGCGCAUGGUAGGCAGCAUUAAAAUGCUAGCUAGGAAAAUUAUUAAAUUAUUAACAAUUAAUUAUAAAUUAAUAAUAAUGUAAUUGUUGUUAUUUAAGGGAAGACAACUAGAUGGCACAAUGUAUAAAAUGCUGAGCUUGGAGUCAGGAAGUCUUGAAUUCAACUCUCACCUCAGACAUUUACCAGCUACAAAAUAGGCUGGAGAAGGAAAUGGCAAAUCAUUCUAGUAUCUUUACCACAAAAACCCCUAAAGGGGUCACAGAGAGUCAAACAAGACUAAAAAACAAACAAAACACUCUAAAUUCUGCAUUUUAGAAGUUAAGAAAGUGAGGUCCCAAUAUCCCCCAGAUAGUAAAGUGUAAAGCCAGGAUUCAAACCCAGAAAAAAGGAGGUAACAAAUCCUGGCUUUGCUUCUUAUUCUUCACUGGGUAAUCUUAUAGUCAUUCUUUAAUCUCUCUGGGUCUCAACUCUAAAAUAAAGGAACUGGAGACAAUUUCUAAAGUCCCUUCUAUUUCCAAAUCCUAAAAUCCAAUCCAAUAAAAUUCCAGUUCUCCAGGUUCAGAGUUCAAAAUAAAUUUGACUUUUAUUUUUGUUUUUGUUUUCAUCAGUCCCUUGUGUUGAUAACAGAUUAGCACCUGUCCUGAAAGCUGAAACUUUUAGAAAGUAACAUGGGCCCUGGGAGGUGGAAAGUACUUCUCCAGUAUCAUCCAGAUGGUGGAGGUUCAGGACAAAAUAAAAAUAAAUACAAGGUAACAAAGAAAUAAAUACAUAGCAGUUAGGGGGAAGGCACUAGCAGCUGUGAAGAUGAGAGGGGUUUCAAGCAAAAGGUAGCUUUGGGCUGAGACUUAAAGGAGAUCAGAAAGAAAGAGAAGACAAAGGGAGAAAGAAAAAGAAUGGGGAGAAAAAGAGAUGAAAAGAAGAGGGGGAGAGAAAAAAAGGGGAGAGAGAAAAGAGAGGAGAGGAAAGACAGAGAGAAACAGAGAGGAUGGAAAGGGACAGACAGAGACAAGAAGGAAGGAAGAGGAGAAACAAAGAUAGGAAGAGGAGAGAGAAAAGGAGAAAAAUAUUAAAGGAGAGGGAGAAAAAUAGAAAGUGAAAUUGAGGGAGAGAAAGGAAGGGGAGAGAUAGAAGAAGAGAGAGAAAACAGAGAAGGGGAGAAAGAGAUGAAGAGAGAGGUGAGAGAAAGGAAAGCGAAAAAGACAAGGAAGAGAGAGAGAGAAAAGGAGAGAAAAAUACAGAGAGAGAAAAACCAAGAGAAGAGGAAAGGAGAGGCAUAGAAAGAGAGAUUUACAGGGGAAAAAAUAAAAAGAGGAGAGAUGAAGAGGAAGAAAAAGAAAAAAAGACUGUGAGGAAGAAAACGAGUUAGAGAUAAGAGAGGGAAAAGGGAAUGAAGAGAGAGGAAGAAAAAGGAAAGGGAAGGAGGAAAGGAAAAAGAAAGGUAGAUAAAUCAGAGAGAAAGGAAAAGGAAGGGAGAGAAAAGGAGAAAGAGAGAGACAGAGAGAGAGAGAAACUUGAGAUCAAGGAAACAGCCUGUCAUGUUCUGAGGACCUUGUAGAAAUGUGUCCCUUUUUCCCCUUCCAUAAUUACAGAAUAUUUUGUAUUUGAGAUUUCUACCCUCUCCCCUCCUUAAUAAGUUAAAGGAGAUGACAAAACAUCUUAUUAAGAUGACCAGGCCAUUUCUGACUAUACCCCUUUUGAUCUUGAGAGUCAAGGAGCUGGGAUGGCUCAGUUUAAUUGUCAUGCUCUUCAUCUCUCUUACUUUUUGUUAAAAAGAUGAGUUUUCUUUUUAUUAAUUUUAGAUUUUUUUAUUACAUUAAAGUCAACAUUUAAUGCAAACACCAAUUUACCAAAAACCUAACCAAAAACUGGGAUGAAUCUCUAAUCCAAACUCCUAAAUUAGGACCAUUUAUAAACCAUCUAUUUUUCACCUACAAGGAGAAUAGAACCCAAAUAAGCUGAAAUUACAGCUGGAGGGAGUGCAGAAAGGUUGAUGCUUUUCCGACUCUGUGGAAGAGACUCUGAAAUCUCAUCAUGUUAGAUCCUUAAAAAUAAGAGAAAACCUCAUCUGUCUGGGCUGGAGUCAGCACCUACCAACACUCCUAGAAAACGAGAGGGAGAUCAUAAGCUUUUGAAUCAAAAAGGUCCUCAGAAAUCACCUGGUCCAAACUACUCUCAUUUUACAUUUGAGGAAACUGAGGCUGGAGAGAGACAGCUAUUUUUGCAAAAUUGAAUAAGAAAAGAGUCAGGAGGUUUAAGCUCAGGUCUUCAACUGCUGAGUUCAGCCUUUUUCUUCCACAUCCAAAUGCACGAUGGCCUCAGGGGGACUGAAUAGCCCCUGGAAGUUUUAAACAGCAAAAGCUCUGCUUUUGAGAGGACCAGCAAGGACACAAGAAGGAAGGAAAUCACUGAGUACAAAAUGGAAUGGGACAAAAGGUGAAUGAGCCCUAGAGAGGUUAGAGAGCAGUCACAGACAUAUCUCUGAGUCAUCCAGGUUAGGAGUCCCUCACGAAUGGGCGAGGGACCCCAAGGAACUCAGGAUGGUGACAAAGCAAACAGAAAGUUCACCCUUUUCCCCAUUCCUCAAUGAGAGGCUGUAUGUGUGCUGUCCCUUUAAUGAUAGAUAUAUCCUCCCUGGGGAAAGGUCUGCUGACUAGGCUUCUUGUUGUUGUUAUUAUUUAUUCUUGAAGAGGACCCUAACAUCUGGAAGGUGAUGACCUGACAAGCAAAUGAAUUGGAUUUAAGUGAGGGAAAGUCACCAGCCUCAAUUUCUCCUUUUUAUGAGCCAUGCUUUAAACCCAAAUCACUCUGGCUCUAAACAACAGGUCCCAGCCCAAUCCUCACUUAGUCAUUGUUUGGAUUCUGAUGGCUCAGAGUAUAAACAGCAAUCGUUUCUGUUUGGGCCAGAAACCGAGGGCCUUCCCCUCCCAAACUGACUUUAUUUUUUUCACUUUUUUUUUUUUACCUAGUUUUCAUCACUGACUAUAAUCAGACAAACUGAGACCUGGGAAAGACCUUCGCUGGCUGGGCAGGAAAGUGUGGGAAGGGAGAGACUCUGAGGGUCCAACCUGUGUCACUCACGGCCAUUUAGAGGGGCAGAUCCUGGACUUUAGAGUUGGUUGUCUGGUCACUUUCCUCGUGUUUUCUCUAGGAAACAGUCAAGUCAAGGCACAGGAUGACCAGCUUCCACAACAUGUCUCUCUACAUUGGCUGCCAAAGAAUUUAACUAGAGGACAGGGGGCCAUUACCCCACCUGUCAUGGUAGGGUAUAGUGACAGCAGGAAUGAUGACCAACCAUCUGAAGAGACUCAGCCCAAUCAGCUAGUAUUGUAAAAAUGUGUCCAUAAGGGCAGCUGGGUGGUGCAGUGCAUGAGCACUAGCCCGAAGCCAGGAGGACCUGAGUUCAAAUGUGGCCUCAGACACGUAACACUUUCUGGCUGUGUGACCCUGGGCAAACCCCAAUUGCCUCAGCAAAAAAAAAAAAAGAAAAAAAAAAAAAAAGGAAAAAAGAAAAGAAAAAAAGAAAAAAAAUGUGUCCAUCCAACUGUAUGUUACAUAACUAUAACUGAGUGAUUUUUUUUUUUCAUUCUGUGCCUCGGCUUUCACUUUUGUAGAGCACAGAGAAACAUGGGGGGGGGGGGGUGGAAUAAGAACAGAAGGGAGAGAAGCAGGAGACCCGUCUUUACUGGGAUUCAGGGUCCUGGCUUCUAAUCUGUAGGAAUUCUUUACUUUUUAGCCACGUAACUUUGAUCAAAUCACCAAAGAUGUGAGUGUUCAGUUUCCUCCUUUGUAAAAUAUCUACCCCAUCUAAGAUUUGAUAUGAAAAUGUUUAGUAAACAGUAAAAAGAAACAGAGAUAUGUAAGAACACUGAAAGGAGACGUUUACCAUUGUUAUUGAUAAAAUCUCACCCACCAGAAGGGGCUUGAAGAAGGCCCCUGGGAUUCCAUUCAGGCUUAAAAGACUGCAGUAUGACUCCUUACUACUUGUGUGAUUCCUCCUGCCUUAGUUUCUUCAUCCUGAGAGAAGGAUCUGAGCUACAUGACCUCUAAAGUCUCUUCGAGAAGCUGUAACAGUCUGAGCCUGUGUUUGCUUAAAUGAUCCCAUGAUCUCUGCCCCAAAGCCAAAACCUCCAGGUCUGAACGUGGUUGGACUGAAUGACCUCCAAUAUCUCUUCCAGCUCUAACACUUUAUGACUCUUUACUUGCCAAUCUGGAAAGUCCGCACAUAGUUCUCCUUCCCCACCGGGCUGCUCAAGAGCCACCUUUCCUGCCCUCCUUCUUAAGUGCUCCUAAGGCUUUUUAUUUUGGGGGUUAUUUGUUAAGUAAGAGAAUCCUUGGAGUUGACUGCUUGGAGGAGACAGAGUUGGAGUCUCCUUCUCUCCCUUCCUUCUAACGGCAAGGUCUCCAUACUGAGUAAGACCUUUUGUCGGAAGAGAAUCAUUCUCCCCAUCUCCUUAAUGACAACCUCUCCCACCCCCAAAGCUACCACUUCUCCAGCCCACCAGGAGUGGCCAAACCAGCCUGGCCACCGGCUUCCCGGUGAUUUCCAGCUUAUCCCUGCUGUAUGCCGGGCUCCGGUAUGAGGGGACUCCUGGAACAGGAUCUGGAGCCCCGGAUAUUUACUCAGGUCUUACUAUCCCCCUCGACUGCACAACUCCGUUCUUUGACUAGCUUAAAGUACUUCCUAUCCAGGGGUUUCUUAAUGGGAGGCUGGUGAGAUAAGGUGAGGUGAGUAGGAGCUGGGGGCGAGGGGGGGUGCUGGGAGAAGGGCAGGAGAGGUGGUCCAGAGAGGGACCCUGAUGGAGAGACCCCUCUCUCCGGUCUAUACAGUUUCACAUUAAAGUACUUCAAGGGCCAAAAUAAUGCAGCCUCUUUACAGUAGUGACGUCAUUCUCAGGGCUCCAAUAUUUACUUCCAAUCUCCCCACCCCGACUUUGUGGAAGGACACCGCCACCAUAUGGCCACUAUUAGGUACUGGAAAUAAAUAUCAAUACAUGACCAGAUGCUCUCUCUGUUGUAUUGCAAUGGGUACAAUGAUCUUUUUGUUUAUAAUUUAGGUGGAAAAAAUGCAUUAAGUGCAUAUUAUCUGUUACUUCCAAUUUAACUGGGCAAAAAUAUAUUAAUUGCAUACUAUCUGUUACUUCUAAUUUAACUGGACAAAAAUAUAUUAAUUGCAUACUAUCUGUUACUUCCAAUUUAAUUGGACAAAAAUAUGUUAAUUGCAUACUAUCUGUUACUUCUAAUUUAACUGGACAAAAAGAUAUUAAUUGCACACUAUCUGUGGCUUCCAAUUUAGUUGGACAAAAAUAUAUUAAAUGAAUACUAUCUGUUACUUCCAAUUUAAUUGGACAAAAAUAUGUUAAUUGCAUACUAUGUCACUUCUAAUUUAACUGCACACUAUCUGUGGCUUCCAAUUUAGUUGGACAAAAAUAUAUUAAAUGAAUACUAUCUGUUACUUCCAAUUUAAUUGGACAAAAAUAUGUUAAUUGCAUACUAUCUGUGGCUUCCAAUUUAAUUGAUCAAAAAUAUGUUAAUUGCAUGCUAUCUGUGUCUUCCAAUUUAGUUGGACCAAAAAAUGUAUUAAGUGCAUACUAUCUGCAGUGAUCUUGAUGGAGACAAGAAUUUCCAAAAAUCCUCAAGGAGUUUACUCUCAAGU